rnacentral:lncRNA from 13 species
AUGCUUCAGUCAGGGAAUUGGGCAGUACGUGCCGAGGACGCAGCCGCCACGACGGCCCUUGCCGCCCUCCCCAGUGCGCCUGCGCGCCUGAACGCCCGCGUCUCUGCAGGUCGGCGCCAGCCCUGGCUUGAAGCUCCGGGCGAAGCGGCUCCAAACCACCCGCUCAGCGCACCGCACGCGCAGUCCUUGCCCGCAUGCUGUUCCUGGACUCUGCUGAAAUUCCAGCCAGUUCCGCAGCCCGAAACAUGGAGCACCCAUCUGCUCCCGUAUUCUCUUCGCCACUUCAGUGAGUCACAUUUCUUUGACAAAAACAAUCACCAGAUCGUCUCAUCUGAUCAUUACAGGGUUAAGUGUGUUUUCUUUUUGGCGUAUGUGCUCAUUUUCCAUCCAACAAGUGCUAUCAAACAGGAGUAUUGAUUUUAUGAAUUAAGAGAAAGAGAAAAAGUGAAAUGGAUAGUAACAAAACGUACGUAUAAACAAGUUCUGAUCCUUUCUAAAUUGUUAUUGGUGAUGUAUUGAUGCCCCUCCUGGUUUGGAAGAAUUUAAUCUGGUUGCCUUGCAUUAUAUUUUGAAUUCCUCUCAUGUGACCAAGAGUAAAAUUUUUUAAAACUGCAAAUGUUCACAAUUGUUGUUACUGUCAUUCUUUUUUUCUCAGAACCACUAAGCCUCAACUGCUUUAUCUGUCCUUACAUACUAGGGAAGUAAACACAGACAAGUGUUAAGUUUUUACCUGAAGACCCUGCUCCAGACUAUCUGUUUGAUUGUCUUUUCACUGUGCUAAAUUCUGGCAAUUAACGCACUUCUCUUAAACACAAUCUCUAACGUAUUUCAUGCAUUUGUACUUACAUACUUACUGUAAGAGUUCAGGUAAGUCACCUCUAAUUUUCCGAAUCUUAUAGUGUUUACUGAAUACGGAGCUAUAAGGAAAUACAUGAUUUAUUUAAUAUAACUGCAAUUAAGAGAAGUAGGGAAGAUGUUUACAUUUAGUAGCCUACUUUAAAAAACAAACAAAAACAAAAGAGCUCGUUUGAGCAUGGGACAUGUUACAUAGCUCAUGAGUUAGAGUGUUGAGCUCUUGCUCAGGUGCCUACCACACCGGAGCGUGAGGCUAUCCCAAUGCAGUCCGACCUCUGCGUGCCCUUGUUGCACCAGUUGGUAAAAUUCUGGGUAUUGCCUUAGCUUCUCAGGGAUUUUACAUUUUGAGUAAAAAUCACGGACUUUAAUAAAUUAACAAAAUGACAUAAUGCA